rnacentral:rRNA from 1 species
UCGCUGUAGCAAUACAGUGGAAAAUCCAGUGGCGAACGGGUGCGUAACACGUGGGCAAUCUGCCUUAAAGUGUGGGAUAGCUCGGCGAAAGCCGAAUUAAUACCGCAUGUGGCUACUGGAGACAUCUUCGGGACGCUAAAGGUGGCGCAAGCUACCGCUUUUUGAGGAGCCCGCGGCCUAUCAGCUUGUUGGUGAGGUAACGGCUUACCAAGGCGUUGACGGGUAGCUGGUCUGAGAGGACGACCAGCCACACUGGGACUGAGACACGGCCCAGACACCUACGGGUGGCAGCAGUCGAGAAUUUUGACAAUGGGGGAAACCCUGAUCGAGCGACGCCGCGUGGAGGAUGAAGGUCUUCGGGUUGUAAACUCCUGUCAUUUGGGAACAAGGCGUAGGUAUUAACUGUACGUGCGUUGAUAGUACCAGAAGAGGAAGAGACGGCUAACUCUGUGCCAGCAGCCGCGGUAAUACAGAGGUCUCAAGCGUUGUUCGGAUUCAUUGGGCGUAAAGGGUGUGUAGGUGGCGCGCUAAGUCGGGUGUGAAGUUUCGGAGCUUAACUCCGAAACUGCAUUCGAUACUGGCGUGCUUGAGGACUGGAGAGGAGACUGGAAUUCUCGGUGUAGCA